ACAUAUAUAAUUGGGUAUACGAAACAUAGAAUUUGGUUUAAGCCAUGUCUCAGUGAGAGCUAUCACAAAGGGUUCAUAUUUAUUAACAAUGUAAGCUAAGUCACUUUUUGCUGAUUACACUGCGGCAAUUCCAUUGGACCAAUUGAUCCAUUAUUAUGCGUGUUAAUGAGAGAGUUUAAUAAUUCAGGGGCAACGUUGGACGGUUCAUCACAAAGAGGUUUAUUAAUCAAUACAUCAGCAAAAGAUCUGUUAACUGAUGGAAAAUUUUUGCAGCUUCGGCAUAAGAAAUACAAUUCUCAGCCAUGAACAGCUUAAUAUCUUUUUGUCUGUUAAAUUCUGGGCAACAUUUAUUAAUAGCAAAAUGAUUACCAGAACACAAGCAACAUGAGCCGCAAUCCUCUUCCACAUUGCAAGAAUCUCCUGUGUGUCCUUGACCACAUUUAAAACAUCGAGGUUUUGAUCUACAUUGUACUUUCGUGUGGCCAAAGCGACAGCAUGCAAAGCAUUGGACAGUUGGGUAAACAUAUAACUCAACAGGAAGAGCAUUGUAGCACAUAAAUAUACGUUUAGGUAACACUUGUCCAUCAAACGUCAUUACAAUUGUUUGGGAUGGUUUCCAUGUUGGAGAACCUUCCACUAAAACUUUAUAAUUUAACCGUCUCAUUUUUAUAAUUUUACCACAUCCUAUAGGCACUGUAACAUUAUCUAAAACUUCUUCUGGUGACCAUUCUAUAGGGACUCCCCGCACCAGUCCCAUUCGUGUAAUAUUAAAUGUGGGAAUAAAGGCUUUAAGAUUUUGUGAAGAUAGA